rnacentral:rRNA from 1 species
UGAAUACGAGAUGCUACGGCGUCGAAGCAGUGUAUGUCAGACUUCCAAGAAAAGCUCGCAAUGUCAUAAAUAAAGAAUGCCUGUACCAUAACCGACACAGGUGGGUAGGUAGAGUAUACUAAGGGGCGCGAGAUAACUCUCUCUAAGGAACUCGGCAAAAUAACUCCGUAACUUCGGGAGAAGGAGUGCCUUCUUUAAGAAGGUUGCAAUAACAAGAUCCAAGCAACUUUUUAUCAAAAACACAGGUCUCCGCUAAGUCGUAAGACGAUGUAUGGGGGCUGACGCCUGCCCAGUGCCAGAAGGUUAAAGAAGUUGGUUAGCUUUUGCGAAGCUGAUGACUGAAGCCCUGGUGAACGGCGGCCGUAACAAUAACGGUCCUAAGGUAGCGAAAUUCCUUGUCGGGUAAGUUCCGACCCGCACGAAAGGCGUAAUGAUUUGGAUACUGUCUCGGAGAGGGACUCGGUGAAAUAGACUUGUCUGUGAGGAUGCGGACUACCUGCACCAGGACAGAAAGACCCUAUGAAGCUUUACUGUAACUUGAAAUUGAAAUUGGACUUUAUUUGCGCAGUAUAGGUGGAAGGCGUUGAAAGUAAUCUUGCGGGAUUAGUGGAGCCAUCAGUGAGAUACCACUCCUAUAAUGUUAGAUUUCUAACUUUGGAUCAUGAUCUGGUCAAAGAACAGUUUCAGGCGGGCAGUUUGACUGGGGCGGUCGCCUCCCAAAUGGUAACGGAGGCGUACAAAGGUUUCCUCUGAACGGGUAGAAAUCGUAUCUAGAGUGUAAAGGCAUAAGGAAGCUUGACUGUGAGACCUACAAGUCGAGCAGGGACGAAAGUCGGUCUUAGUGAUCUGACGGUGCUGAGUGGAAAGGCCGUCACUCAACGGAUAAAAGUUACUCUAGGAUAACAGGCUGAUCUCCCCCAAGAGUUCACAUCGACGGGGAGGUUUGGCACCUCGAUGUCGGCUCAUCGCAUCCUGGGGCGGUAGUACGUCCCAAGGGUUGGGCUGUUCGCCCAUGAAAGCGGUACGCGAGCUGGGUUCAGAACGUCGUGAGACAGUUCGGUCCAUAUCCGGUGUAGGCGUUAGAAUAUUGAGAGGAGCCUUCUUUAGUACGAGAGGACCGAGAAGGACAUACCUCUGGUGUACCAGUUAUCGUGCCAACGGUAAACGCUGGGUAGCUAUGUAUGGAGAGGAUAACCGCUGAAAGCAUCUAAGUGGGAAGCCCACCUCAAGAUGAGUAUUCUCAUCA